UUUUCUGUGGCUUCAUUGGUUAAAGCGCUAGUCUAGCGAAUAUGGAGCCGUGGGUUUAAAUCCCACCAGAAUGU
rnacentral:tRNA from 1 species